CUAGAGGGGCUUGCGACGGAUGUGAUACCUCAUCGGGUUGAAUUUUAUGAGGUUUGUCGUGAAUAGGUGGACAAUAUGAUCAUGGUGUAAGACGGGUGGGUCGCUUGAAGCAUGAGAGGAUUUGCUUUCCCGUGGCAACGCACGGGCAUAUGUGCUAUUUUUUUAAUAAUAAAGCACGGAUUGACUCCGUAGAUUCACCGUCACAAUACGUUUCCUUCCUGUCAAAAUACGUUUUUCUAUCCGUCAUGGGUUUUGCUAUCCGAGGUGGUAGUAUUAUUGUAUACGUUUCCACGUUUUGUUUUCUGUUUGUACUUUAAAUUCGCACAUAAAUCCAAUUUGGCCCAACAACGAAUCCAUCCAGCCCUGAGUUUCUUUCAGGGUACGCACCUCCUUCCCGUCCUUCCCUAAAAAAAUAACUCCUCCCGUCCUGAAAAGGCACUAGCCGCCUCCCCAAGCCCAACUCGCCGAAACCCAGCCCCCAUGACCCGAUCGAUCACCGAUGGCGUUCGGCGAGGUCAUGCCCUAGGCCUCAUCCUCGGCCGCCCUGACAGCGGAUCGAAUCAGCGUAGUUGGCGCAUGGGACGGCUCCCUGGAGGUGUACCUGGGCGCUUGGACGGGGCUGAUGCUGCGCGUCGAGGUGGCGCGGUGGGCCGGGGUCCCAGCGCAUGCCGUGGCGAGCUAAUCUCAACCUGACUCUGGUCACCAGCGCGGCAUCAUGCCACCUGGCCGGCGCUGCAGCGACGUGGUUAAGAGGGAGGUGGAUGAGGCAGAGUCUGCGCUCGGCGUCGCGGAGAUCUGGAGGAUACAUGAUUGUGUGGACACAGCGGCGGCGUGGCCGGGUGGGGCGGCAUGUUGAUUUUCUUGGGGGUAGGUUUUUGCUGCUGGUGACCUUUUAAGAAAUUUAAGAGACCCAGUGCACGGAAAGAUGCUAUUGAGUUGGGAGACCAGGUGGAUUUGAAGCUCAUUGGUCAACGUUCAGUCAAAUUUCAUAUUGAACAGGUAUGUCCUUGAUGAUCUGGUGCUUCUAAUCUUUUUUGCCUAUAGUUCAGACCUUAAGCCUCUCUUACUUUGUCCAAUAUAGUUAGUCUGCAUAUGAGAACACACGUAUGUCAAUGGAUAAGCAAUUGACCUCUAAUCAAUCAAGGUUUGCAAACUCAUCCAGAUCUCAAUCUUAAUGGUUCAAGAAUCAACAUUUACACUUUAAAGUGUAUUCAUUGACCAAUUCUUUUUGAAAUAUGCAUCUGGGCCAUCGAAGGCAAGAUGCUUAUGUUAUGUUUUUAUUCUGAUGACAAAUCAUCUUCUUUGCCUGUUGGUAGCUGCUCAUGAGAAACUAGGAUAUAUUUUUACUGCUUUAGAUGCAAGCAUCUUCUUUUCCAUGGGCCUGCAGCUAUUUGUUUGGAAAUUAAGUUGAAGUUAACGACAUUUGUUAUUCUGCAUGGGCAGGGAUGCAGAGUAUUAAAUAUUUCUAGGACAUAAAGUACAUCGGCAAUUUAAGUAUUUAAGUAGUGUAUCAAUUUUCACUGUAUUCUCAGUUUUAAUCUUAGUGUAGCUUAUGCCCAGAUCUUUAGUAUAUGAUUAAUCUCAUCUAUUUCUUGUGAGAUGCCGACUGAAUAAGGAAACCAAUAAAGUUUCCCGUUCUUAGAUCUAAUGCUUCCUCUCUCUCAAUAUGAUAACCAUCUAAAUUGUUAUUAUUAUUUACACUGUGAUGCUAAUCUUAUUUGUUUUGAAAAAGAUGAAUCUACAUGAUAGAUAUGAACUCAAUGAAUAAAAUUUGGGACUAACAUUCAAGCACAAUAAUGUGAAUACAACAUAUGCCUGCUGGUGUGCUGGAAUUCAUCAGUUGUAUCAAGAAAACAAAAAGUAAAACAGGUAUGCCAAAUGAGUGAAAUUUCUUAUUCUACUCUUUACAGCUAAAAGCAUAAUCUGCCUUAUUUUUCUACCAAGAUACCUGAAUAGUUAUAGUCAAUAUAUUGGUUUUCUUGGUUUUGACCCGGAAACUCGAUGUAGUUGUAACCCCCGGUAUGAUUGAAAAUCUAAAAUUAUAAUUUCACAUGACUAAAUGUCCCCAUUUAAUUUAUUUCUGUUGUCUCUAGAAUUAACAGUGCUUCAGAUGAUAAUUUCCAACUACCACUCUUAGAUAUUGGUUCAUCGUUUGCACUCUUAAAAUUACAAUGUGUUUUGUCGGAGCUGGUUUGCCCUGAUCUCACCAAUCCAAUAACUCAUGAAUUUUUUAUCUAUUUGAAUUACAUAAUACAGGGUUAAAUAUGUAGACGUGUGAUUCUUUGUUUUAGUUGUCUCCUGCUGAACAUAUAUUCUUAGCUGCGUAUUUUUUAGUUUUCUGCGGGUUGUUGGGAAUGUUAAUUCAAUCAGUGCUCUACUUGACAGGUCUUGACUUCUUUAUUACUUAUUACUUGCUUAACAACCGUUUUUAAAAAAUGCGUAGCAAUCUGUUGUAGCUGUAAUAUAUUGAGUCGACAAACUAUGCUAUAAUCUUCUUAGCCUUUGCCAUAAUUUCAAGCAAGAAUUUGGCGGGACUAACAUUUAUUUGCAGGCAAAAGAGAGAGUACAACUUUAUCACGUGCGAGUGUGAUGAAAUGAUAGCCCCAAAUUUCAAUACAGCGUUGAGGAGAAGUACUACAUCAUUGAUGGUAUAUCUUGUUAAUUUCUUAGUAUCUUGGAACAGUGAUGUGCCAUGUUAACAAGUGAUGGCUAAUUUGUGUGUUGUUUGUAAUCUUUGCAGUUUUAAGUACUGGUCUCACCUUCUUUGAUUGAUAAUUUUUUUACUCUUUCACGUCAUUUACUUCAAAGUUUGAGUUUUCCCUCAUAUAUAUACACAUUGAUAUGGUUACGAGUAAGGGAUGUGGAUCAAUUUGCACGUAGGGUAAGGGCAUGUGAUUUUUUUUCUCCCGUUGCAACGCACAGCAACUUUGCUAUUCAAACCUAUAGCCUAUAAUAAACCCCAGUUUUUUAAUCAAGUUUAAACAUUUCAGUUCCGUUUUUGGGUCGGAAUUUCAGUGGCCAUGUAAGACUGGAAAUUGCUCAUCAUGUGUUCCUUAAUGUAUAUUGUGCCAAUAGCUAUUAAACCUUCGAUAUGCUGGAGGGCGAUGAGGUGGCAUGGAGCUAAACAUAGAUUGAAGAUUCUGUCAUGGGUUCCUCAGAGAAGAUGGAACAAAUGAGUAUGGAGAUCCAGCUGUUGAAGAUACCGAGGGACAAGAACAUUCAGAAGUUUUUCGCCUAACAAGAAUACAUUUAACAUCAUCACAGAUUGCUUUAGCUAGAGCCAGGUUCAGAGUUGUUCACUCGGGAUUUUUUGGGCACGGACAUCAAGCAAGCUAGCACGUAUUGUUUAACUGAAGGAAAGGGCAACUAAGCUUUGAAUGCUACAUUCUUUGUUCUGAACAAAUGUAGCUACUAUUUGUAUUCGAUGCUGGACUCCUGGUAACAAUUUAUUACUGUACAUGUUAUUUCUUUUUUUGGUGAGUCUUUUCUAGGAUUAUGGAGUUAACGGGUGUUACUUUUGACCUGCUAAUACAGUUGUGUUAAACUUUUUGCUCUUCGAAAGCAACUAUGUAAGUCUGACGCUAACAUAGUGUUUACUGCUAAAAUACUUUAGUUUAACUUAAGAGUCAGGAGCACAAGUAGAAUUUCAUAGAAAUCUGUCUAGCUCCUGUAGAUGAAAGACUUCCUGCAAGUGAGCUCUUGAAUAACUCAUACCUCCAGGAAGAUGAGGUCUAUCCCAGCGCCUCCAGUUUCAGUCUCUCUGGUCUCAAGUGUGACUGAAGAUAGGUGGCAAUCUGCAAGUUUCGUGCUUUGGAAGGGUGAAUUCUUACUGGAAAAAAAACCAUAUGUAUCUUACCGACCAUAUUAAUUUAUUGCUAAGGUUUCCUCAAAACAGUGGCUGUUUAAAGAAUGCUGAGUUGUCAAGCGAGGUGCUGCAGUGGCUGGCGUUGCCGGGCAUGGGAUAACGUCCCUAGGCUCCUGCUUGAGGCAAGCCUCUCCGACCUCCUCGGAUGCCCUCUAGGAACUGGCACUGCGUAUGAUGGCCUCCUCACCUAGAACCUAGGUUGACCUAGCCACCGCCAUCGAAGCGGAGAGUUGACAACAUAUGUAUGAUUGUUCGACGGUGUCAGUCCUGCCAUUGGAAUGUUCAAAACUAUGAAUUGAGUGAUUACAAAUAUGCUUUGAUCAAUGAAAUGAAACGAAGUUUUGCUACAUCUUGUUGUGCAGAUAUAGGGCUUGAAUUAUUUUCGGUCGUAUCAUCUUGGCCCUAUAAUAAAAAAGCGAGUGCGGGAGGACGCGACCAGUUGCUACCAGUAUCAAGGUGCACUUGAUGUGUAGUAUUCAGUCAAUGAGAACCAUAGAAAAAUGGAGGCACCGACUCUAGGAGUAUAUAUCCGCUCCCAAAAAAAGUGUGCUAUAUAUUGAAUGGUUCAAUAUAGGUUAGUGAGUUUGAGGCAGCAAAAGGCUUUAGAGCUAAAAUCAAUAGGAAAUGGUAUUUGUUUCUUAAGAAGUUUUUUGAUAAAUGUAAAAAAGAAAAUGAAUUAGUUAGUUACUAAUAAGAGAGAAAAGGAGACCAUGACUUGUUUCUCUAUUUAUCCUUGCUCCACACAUGUUGUGAUUAGAGGACACUGUGUAAUCGCUGGCAGUGAGGGACUAAGAUAAGUGGUGACAUGGUGUCGGCGGUGGACUAAGAUAAGUGGUGACACAGGUGGGACACCAUGUUAAAAUAGAGGACGUUGAAUUGUGGGGGUCUUGAGCCGUAUUUAUCGGCCCGUUGCAACGUACGGGCAUGUUUACUAGUUAGUAAUAAAGCACGGAUUGAGUCUCCGGAUUCACCAUCGCGGCGCUUUUGCAAAAACGUUUCAAUCUUGCAAAAAGACCAUGUAGUUUUUUGGUAUUCAACCCACGCUUCUUUUUGAAGUGGCAGCACACACGAGCAUAUGCGUGCUCUCCUCGAUGCAUACAGGCGGCGCCGCCGCGGGCGCUCCUCGAUCCAUACGGGCGGCGCCACCGCCACCUGCGGCUGGUCUUCUUCUCCAGCCAUCUGCCGCCCUUCUCCCCUCCCCAUUCGUUGCCCUCCUCUACCCUCCCGCCCCUAAUCUUCUCUGGCACUACCCCCAGCCUCCUGCUGCCGUGCCUCGAUCCAUACGGGCGUCACCGCCGGCGGGGGGCGGUCUUCUUCUCCGGCCAUCCACCGCCCUCCUCCCCCCCCUCCCUCCUAAUCUUCUUCUUCUUCUCCGGCCAUCCGUCGCCCUCCUCAAAUCCCGCGGAGUUCGCCGGAGGAAGAACAUCCGCCGUCCGAACGUGCUACACCAGAGGGAAGCACCGGAAAGUGGAUGUUUCUAUGCAGCAUCACCCAAAAGUUUAAUUUGAGGUAUUCCAUCAAGCGUAUGUUCCAUAGCCUCCAUCAUGUAGUUUAUUUCCUUUGCUUCAGGUUGUACAGAGGAUUUCCUUUGUUUCAGGUUGUACAGAGGAGCUCAACGACAACUGAGGUGCUGCUAGAAUUACAUCAGCUACUAACUUACAUACAUAUAAAAAUAAACUGCAGCUUUAGCUCCAUGUAGUAAUGACUAAGUAUAUUCUAAUGCUCAUAGGGACUGAUUACUAUUUUUUACAGGUUAAUUUAAUCAAUUCCUUGGCGUACUUUAGGAAACGAGGAUAUAUUGGGUGGUCUCCGACAGCCCGACGACAAUACAGAGUCGUCGUAGUUGGGUUGUGUUCAUGUAACACUGAAACUUGACAUAGUUAGUAUAAGAAGGUUUGGUUUACUUCCACUAUGUUACUGUUCAGUCUAUUUUAUAAACAUGUUGAUUAGCCAUUCUGGCAAAGAGGCAUCUUCAAUAUUUCAGAAAUCUCUUUUCCAGAAACUCCAAUUCUCCUCAUAGGAAUUGAGAUGCCCAAUAUUUCUCAAUUUGCUGACAAGGUUGUAAUAUAAUCACGUUUUGCUAUUGACGUAAUGAUAUAUUCCUUGACUGAAAGCAAACCCUUUAAUUGCAUCUGUACUAAGCAUUCUUUCCGUCUAUAUCCUGUCAUGAUUUUUUUACUAGCUGUAGUGGUGUUCUUAUUAUUGUCAUUUCACAGAUGGUAUAAACCUUGUUCAUGGCUAACUUAUAGAAUAGCAAACCUGGUUCAUGGCUAACUUAUAGAAUAGCAAACCUUGUUCAUGGCUAACUUAUACAAUAGCAGUAACUGAUUUGAAACCAUCAAUCUCAGGAACACUCUGACCAUGUAUUUGAUUCUGUUAAAGACCCAAUAUGUCAUGUGGUCCUGCAUCUCCUGAUGUUGGUAUUUCCAGUAAAUUUUAUUGACAGGCACUUUGGUGUCUCAGCAACCAGGUCGCCACCGACCACCACGGUGGCUCGCAGCGAUGCCCUCCCGCCACCGUAUGUACGACCAGCGGCGAGAUGGGGGGGAACUCUUUGGCAUGCCGGCACACAGGAACGACACAUGCCGUACAACCUGAAGGUCACGUUCGUCAGGCUUGACUUGACCCUCACCGACGCCACCUUGCCACCUCUGUUGCCGGAGAUCAGCCGAAGACUUAGCUUGUUGCCGCUUUGCUUCAAUGGUUGCUUUAAUGCUUAACAUCAGAGUAUUUUUUAGUUACAGAUUUGGCAAUACCCAGGACAUUAUGUUUCUCCAGUUCAACUAUUGGCUUUCAAGGUGGCAGUGUCAGCCAUUGCUGCUAUCACAGGAUCAUGUGACUGUAUAUUUGGUUUUUGUCAGAAUAUGAGGAAGAUGACUCUUUUGUAGUGAGAUGUGACUGCUGAAGGAAAUAUGCCCUAGAGGCAAUAAUAAAGUUAUUAUUUAUUUCCUUA